rnacentral:rRNA from 1 species
AACGAACGCUGGCGGCAUGCCUAACACAUGCAAGUCGAACGAGACCUUCGGGUCUAGUGGCGCACGGGUGCGUAACGCGUGGGAACCUGCCCUUAGGUUCGGAAUAACUCCCCGAAAGGGGUGCUAAUACCGGAUAAUGUCUUCGGACCAAGGAUUUAUCGCCUUUGGAUGGGCCCGCGUUGGAUUAGCUAGUUGGUAGGGUAAAAGCCUACCAAGGCGACGAUCCAUAGCUGGUCUGAGAGGAUGAUCAGCCACACUGGGACUGAGACACGGCCCAGACUCCUACGGGAGGCAGCAGUGGGGAAUAUUGGACAAUGGGCGAAAGACUGAUCCAGCAAUGCCGCGUGAGUGAUGAAGGCCUUAGGGUUGUAAAGCUCUUUUACCCGGGAUGAUAAUGACAGUACCGGGAGAAUAAGCGCCGGCUAACUCCGUG